rnacentral:rRNA from 1 species
UACGGAGGGUGCGAGCGUUGUCCGGAAUCACUGGGCGUAAAGGGCGCGUAGGCGGCCUGGCAAGUCGAUGGUGAAAGCCCGAGGCUCAACUUCGGGUCGGCCACUGAUACUGCUGGGCUCGAGUCGACUAGAGGCAGAUGGAAUUCCGGGUGUAGCGGUGGAAUGCGUAGAGAUCCGGAAGAACACCGGUGGCGAAGGCGGUCUGCUGGGGUCGAACUGACGCUGAGGCGCGACAGCGUGGGGAGCAAACAGG